UGCCGCGUGAGUGAAGAAGGCCUUUGGGUUGUAAGCUCUUUUGUAGGGGAAGAUAAUGACUGUCCCUAAGAAUAAGGUCCGGCUAACUUCGUGCCAGCAGCCGCGGUAAUACGAAGGGACCUAGCGUAGUUCGGAAUUACUGGGCGUAAAGCGCGCGUAGGCCGUUGAGUUAGUUAAUUGUGAAAUCCCAAAGCUUAACUUCGGAACUGCAAUUAAAACUGCUCGACUAGAGUUUGAUAGAGGAAAGCGGAAUACAUAGUGUAGAGGUGAAAUUCGUAGAUAUUAUGUAGAACAACAGUUGCGAAGGCGGCUUUCUGGGUCAACACUGACGCUGAGGCGCGAAAGUAUGGGUAGCAAACGAGGAUUAGAUACCCUCGUAGUCCAUACCAUAAUACGAUGAUUGCUAGAUGUUGGAAAUUUAUAUACAGUAUCGCAGCUAACGCAUUAAGCAAUACGCCUGAGGAGUACGAGCGUAAGGAUAACAAUCAAAUGAAUUGACGGGGAACCGAACAAGCGGUUGGAGCAUGUGGGAUAAUUCGAAGAUACGCG
rnacentral:rRNA from 1 species